AGGUGUCCUCCCCAUCUGAGGUGAAAUUGGUCUGUGGAAACUAGGACUUUUAUUUUUAUGAUUUUCUGAAUGUAUGGACAAAAAAGGUAAUAUAUGAGAUUUGGGGGGCUCUUAUUUUGGAAUUCAACAUCAGAAUGUCCUGAAACAUUGUAGUUCACACCUUGAGAAGGUGUCCUCCCCACCUGAGGUGAAAUUGGUCUGUGGAAACUAGGACUUUUAUUUUUAUGAUUUUCUGAAUGUAUGGACAAAAAAGGUAAUAUA